AACGAACGCUGGCGGCAUGCCUAACACAUGCAAGUCGAACGAGACCUUCGGGUCUAGUGGCGCACGGGUGCGUAACGCGUGGGAACCUGCCCUUAGGUUCGGAAUAACUCCCCGAAAGGGGUGCUAAUACCGGAUAAUGUCUUCGGACCAAAGAUUUAUCGCCUUUGGAUGGGCCCGCGUUGGAUUACCUAGUUGGUAGGGUAAAAGCCUACCAAGGCGACGAUCCAGAGCUGGUCUGAGAGGAUGAUCAGCCACACUGGGACUGAGACACGGCCCAGACUCCUACGGGAGGCAGCAGUGGGGAAUAUUGGACAAUGGGCGAAAGCCUGAUCCAGCAAUGCCGCGUGAGUGAUGAAGGCCUUAGGGUUGUAAAGCUCUUUUACCCGGGAUGAUAAUGACAGUACCGGGAGAAUAAGCUCCGGCUAACUCCGUG
rnacentral:rRNA from 1 species